GUGUCACGUACACCCAAGGGGACUGUAAAUCUAAGCCGGCUAGAGUGUAUCGACCUGGGAUUACUUCCAAGAUGAGGCCAAUCAGGUAUUAGUUGGUCACAGGAUAGGAAGUGUACCUAUGUAUUUAUCUAAUGUUGAGAAAGGUGGCGAGACGAUAUUCCCAAAAUUAGAGAUGAAAGAAUCUCAACUCAAAACCGAUGAAGACUCAUACACGUGCACAUGACGUGAGGGUGUGCAAAAAUGGU
rnacentral:lncRNA from 1 species